CAACAACGGAUCUCUUGGUUCCGGCAUCGAUGAAGAACGCAGCGAAAUGCGAUAAGUAGUGUGAAUUGCAGAAUUCCGUGAAUCAUCGAAUCUUUGAACGCACAUUGCGCCCUCUGGUAUUCCGGGGGGCAUGCCUGUCCGAGCGUCAUUG
rnacentral:rRNA from 1 species